GACGAACGCUGGCGGCGUGCUUAACACAUGCAAGUCGAGCGGAGCGGCGAACGGGUGAGUAACGCGUGAGUAACUGCCCCCCUCUCUGGGAUAACAGUUGGAAACGGCUGCUAGUACCGGAUAGUGGGGGGUGGAUCGCGUCCUAUCAGCUUGUUGGUGGGGUAGUGGCCUACCAAGGCGACGCCGGGUAGCCGGCCUGAGAGGGCGACCGGCCACAUGGGGCUGAGAUACGGCCCAAACGACUACGGGAGGCAGCAGUGGGGAAUAUUGCACAAUGGGGGAAACCCUGAUGCAGCAACGCGCGUGCGGGAUGUCGGCCUUCGGGUUGUAAACCUCUUUCAGCCAUGACGCGGUAGUGGCAGAAGAAGCACCGGCUAACUACGUGCCAGCAGCCGCGGUAAUUC
rnacentral:rRNA from 1 species